GACGAACGCUGGCGGCGUGGAUUAGGCAUGCAAGUCGUGCGAGAAACCUCCUUCGGGAGGCGGAAAGCGGCGAAAGGGAGAGUAACGCGUGGAAAUCUACCCUCAGAUCUGGGAUAGCAGCGGGAAACUGCUGGUAAUACCGGAUAACGUCUCCGGACCAAAGGUGUGAUUCCGUCUGAGGAUGAGUCCGCGUCCUAUUAGCUUGUUGGUGGGGUAAUGGCCUACCAAGGCUGAGAUGGGUACCGGGUGUGAGAGCAUGGCCCGGCUCACUGGGACUGAGACACUGCCCAGACACCUACGGGUGGCUGCAGUCGAGAAUCUUCGGCAAUGGGCGCAAGCCUGACCGAGCGACGCCGCGUGCGGGAUGAAGGCCUUCGGGUUGUAAACCGCUGUCAGAGGGAAGGAAAUGGCUGGUUUAUACCCAGCUUUGACCGAUCCUCAGAGGAAGUCCGGGCUAAGUUCGUG
rnacentral:rRNA from 1 species